AUUGUACGACUUUCACCCGCAUCCUGCAUCCCUCCGCCACCACUGCCAUGCCGCCGUUGCCACAUCGCCGCUACCACACAAUCACCACUACGUCCGCAUCUCCAUCUCUAGCGCCGCGCACGCUAAGCCGCCAUCGUCCGCAUCUGAUCUCCGUCGUCAGCGCUCCGCCACGAUCGCCAUCCUCUUUGUCGCUUCCAGUUCGCUGUCGUCAACCCUAAUCUACUCAAGCUUAUUUACGGAAUUUGGAGCUGACCGACAAGCACAUCGGACACGUGGAGCUAACCGGCACUUGGAGCUGACCGACAAGAACGUCGGGCACUUGGAGCUGACCGACAAGCGUGUCGGGCACUUUGGAGCUAACCGACAAGCGCGACGGACACUUGGAGCUGACUGAUAAACGCGGCGGGUACUUGGAGCUGACCGACAAGUGCGACAGGCACUAGGAGCUAAUCGACAAGCGAGACAGGCACUUUGGAGCUGACGGACAAGCCCGUCGGGCACUUUGGAGCUGAACGACAAGCCCGUCGGGCACUUUGGAGCUGAACGACAAGAGCGGCGGGCACUUGGAUAAUCCUUCUUGACUCAGAUGAUGACGUUUAUUGUCUUCCCUUCGUCUCGAGCUGCGUGCAGAUACCUAUUAACAUUUUUAGACGCCUACACCCACCAUUUUUGUUGUCCGUCUCUUAAGCCUGUAAACAAUCUUUAUGGGAUAGAAUUUGAGAGGUCACUGAUUGGUCUUUUCAGGUAACGUGCUCUUAUGAGCUCGUUUUAUAGCAUUUAAGGAAAAUCAUGAGCACCUGUUUCAGAAUUUAUUCUACAAUUAAAUAGACUUGGUGGUGGUGGCGCACAA